UACGAAGGGGGCUAGCGUUGCUCGGAAUGACUGGGCGUAAAGGGCGCGUAGGCGGUUUGGACAGUCAGGCGUGAAAUUCCUGGGCUUAACCUGGGGGCUGCGCUUGAUACAUCCAGACUUGAGUGGGGAAGAGGGUCGUGGAAUUCCCAGUGUAGAGGUGAAAUUCGUAGAUAUUGGGAAGAACACCGGUGGCGAAGGCAACCACCUGGGCCUGCAUUGACGCUGAGGUACGAAAGCGUGGGGAGCAAACAGG
rnacentral:rRNA from 1 species